rnacentral:tRNA from 2 species
GGCCAGAUGCCCGAGCGGUUAAGGGGAUAGACUCGAAUCUACUCGUAGUUCGCCAUCUAUUAGGCUUUGCCUGCGCAGGUUCAAGUCCUGCUCUGGUCG